ACGACCGGAAACGACAUCCCUUUGAUCUUGACGAGAUUUUUGCGACGGUCCAUGGUGUUCUUGCCGUCCUCUUUCGACGUACGCCUGUAGGUUCGGAAAAGUAGUAGGUCUCUCAACUUUUUAACGUUAGAAAUAUUUUUCCGCGAAGGAGACAGUGAUUUCGUGGUGCCUUGUCUUACGCUACGGUUCUUCAGCCAUCGAUCUCGAUCUCUGCCUCGUGUGGUUUCUUGGAUAGCCUUCUCAAAUGGAUCCAUCUCCUUUUCUGUGACUUUCAAAUCUCCUCCUCGAGUGAAGAACCGCGACAGUGGCGAUUUCGGAGAUGUCAACUUGGGAGCAACUGUG
rnacentral:lncRNA from 1 species